rnacentral:lncRNA from 1 species
UCCGGGGCCGAGGGAGGGAGUCUGUUUUAAUAUUAUAAAAACCACAGUGGGACUCGCCUGGUUCAUGCAGUAGGAUAUAGCAUCACGCAGGAUGCCUGCGAGGCUGUAUAUUAGAUCAGAAUAAUUGGCUGGGACAGCUAUCUGAGAUGGACAAAUGAGAACCUCCCCCUGAUUGACCUCAUGGCCCGAGGACUGGAUGGAACCAUGCUGCACAGUAUUUUGAUAUGUGGUGAUACAGGUCCUCCAGGGUGUGGUGAUACAGGUCCUCCAGGGUGUGGUGAUACAGGCCCUCCAGGGUGUGGUGAUACAGGUCCUCCAGGGUGUGGUGAUACAGACCCUCCAGGGUGUGGUGAUACAGGUCCUCCAGGGUGUGGUGAUACAGGCCCUCCAGGGUGUGGUGAUACAGGCCCUCCAGGGUGUGGUGAUACAGACCCUCCAGGGUGUGGUGAUACAGGCCCUCCAGGGUGUGGUGAUACAGAGAAACCUAGAGAGACCAGAGACACUGUUCAAAGGUUGACACUGUUUUAGGGUGACACUGUUUCAGAGACACUGUUUUAGGGUGAUGUUAGUGUAAUGUUUGAUCAGAACGGUUUUGAUGAUCAAUGGAUUUGCAGGAUACAGUGACACACAGAGGGAAAUAUCAAUGCCCCUUCCUUAGUUGUUUUUGGAAAGACAUUAAUGCAAUAUGCCAUGCAGGAAUCCUGGCCUCCAAGCC